rnacentral:rRNA from 1 species
CUACGGGAGGCAGCAGUGAGGGAUAUUGGGCAAUGGGCGCAAGCCUGACCCAGCGACGCCGCGUGGAGGAAGAAGGCCUUCGGGUCGUAAACUCCUUUGGUUGGGGACGAGGAAGGACGGUACCCAAACAACAAGUCACGGCUAACUACGUGCCAGCAGCCGCGGUAAAACGUAGGUGGCAAGCGUUAUCCGGAUUUACUGGGCGUAAAGGGUGUGCAGGCUGCGGACCAAGUGGUGUAUGAAAUCGCCCGGCUUAACCGGGCGGGGUUAUGCCAGACUGGUCGGCUAGAGACAGAGAGAGGGCAGUGGAAUUCCGGGUGUAGUGGUGAAAUGCGUAGAGAUCCGGAGGAACCCCAGAGGCGAAGGCGGCUGCCUGGCUCUGUUCUGACGCUCAGACACGACAGCAUGGGGAGCGAACGGGAUUAGAAACCCGGGUAGUCC